rnacentral:rRNA from 1 species
UGGGGAAUAUUGCGCAAUGGGGGAAACCCUGACGCAGCGACGCCGCGUGAGCGAAGAAGGCCUUCGGGUUGUAAAGCUCUGUUGUAAGGGAAGAAUGGCACAGGGAGUAAUAUGCCCUGUGUGUGACGGUACCUUACGAGGAAGCCCCGGCUAACUACGUGCCAGCAGCCGCGGUAAGACGUAGGGGGCGAGCGUUGUCCGGAAUUACUGGGCGUAAAGAGCACGUAGGCGGAUAUUUAAGUCAGGUGUGAAAGACCGCAGCUCAACUGCGGGGUUGCACCUGAAACUGGGUAUCUUGAGGGCAGGAGAGGGCAGUGGAAUUCCUGGUGUAGCGGUGAAAUGCGUAGAAAUCAGGAGGAACACCGGUGGCGAAGGCGGCUGUCUGGACUGACCCUGACGCUGAGGUGCGAAAGCGUGGGUAGCAAACAGG